UACAGAGGGUGCAAGCGUUGUUCGGAAUCAUUGGGCGUAAAGGGCGUGUAGGCGGUCUGCUAAGUCAUGUGUGAAAGCCCUCGGCUUAACCGAGGAACGACGCAUGAAACUGGCAAGCUAGAGUACCAAAGAGGGGGGUGGAAUUCCCGGUGUAGCGGUGAAAUGCGCAGAUAUCAGGAGGAACACCAAUUGCGAAGGCAGCUCGCUGGGACGUUACUGACGCUGAGACGCGAAAGCGUGGGGAGCAAACAGG
rnacentral:rRNA from 1 species